rnacentral:rRNA from 1 species
UACGAAGGGGGCUAGCGUUGUUCGGAAUCACUGGGCGUAAAGCGCACGUAGGCGGACUUUCAAGGCAGGGGUGAAAUCCCGGGGCUCAACCUCGGAACUGCCUUUGAUACUGUUGGUCUCGAAUCCGGUAGAGGUGGGUGGAAUUCCUAGUGUAGAGGUGAAAUUCGUAGAUAUUAGGAAGAACACCGGUGGCGAAGGCGGCCCACUGGACCGGUAUUGACGAUGAGGUGCGAAAGCGUGGGGAGCAAACAGG